AUUUAACUGUAAUGAUGUAAGAAAGCAUGACUGUGAUGAAGCAAAGGCACUUAUUAUGCAGUCAGCCCAGGAAUUUCAUUAUGCAGAGUGCUUCUUGGAAGAAUGAGCCUGCUUCCACAGUGCCUGAGUCAGCUGCUCUGAGAGGCAACUUCAGUUUUAGGCAUCAUCUGGAUUUGAAAGGCUUCUCUACAUACUUCAAUUUGCUUGAACCACUGAAAAUAUUUCCAGAUUCUGGCAGUAGCCAAGUUAAACUAUUCACACCACUUGAAAUUUAUAUCCUUAGGACACUGUUGGAAAUAUUGAUACUAUUGCAUUUGCCAUAGUGGAAAACAGCUUUUGAGAAAUGAUGGAGUGAUGCAGUGACGACCACUUUCUUAAGCUGAAGUUUGCUUAAGAUUUGCAAAUUACCAUCUUAGAUGUUCUUAUGCCUAUGCAAGGUGCAAUACCUUCGCCCAAUGAUGAAUCCAAACACCAUG